AGUGUGUGUGUGUGUGUGUGUGAAAGUUUGUGCUUCUCAGUAGUUACUUAACAAGAUGUCUGAGCCACAACGGAAGCGUGAUGGACAGGAACUGCACUCGGGAGCUGCAGUCUACUUCUCUAAUCCUCUAAUGAGUGAUGCGGAGGCAGACUGGGCUGCGGUACAUGAUGCUGCUUUCAAUGGGAGACUCUUGGUUUUGCACGGCCUUACCAGGCAGUGUGAGGUGGUAAAUCUGACUACACUGGACGGUGUGACCCCUCUCCAUGCGGCCUGCCAGCAGGGUCACCGUGCAUGUGCAGGUCUGCUGAUAGAGCAUGGGGCCAGGGUUAGUUUGGGAGAACAUGAAGUGCUGUUUACGAGGACUGUUUAUUCAUGUCCUUUGCCUACAGUAAUGUCAGAGCCUCUCUGAUUCUUUCUGUAGUAAAAACACAUUAUUAAAAACAGUUUUAAAUCUCCAGCCCCCAACUGUUGUGUG